GCCCCCAAGCCCCACCCCUCUGACUGGAUUUUCAAAUUUAGGCUGUGGGCGGAGUCAGCCUCCAACUUCCUGGUUUGGUUACCCUUUAAGGAGUUUGAUGUAGGAACUGUUAACAGAAUCCGGUUUGUAGAAUGGCAAAAACUGGCUCAAAAAAGAGAAGAAACACCAAAUUUAAUGUAAAUUAACAUCAAUUGGCGAAUUUUAAUAAGGAAGUCCAAUUCAGUGGAGAGUAUAGGGGGCAUUUGUAAAAAAUUGAAUAGUAAAAUGAUCAAAUUAAAUGUUUGGAAGUCAGAAUGAAGUUUAAGCUAUGUUAGUUUUCAAGUUUUCACAUUUUUUUUUCUUGGGCCCCCUUCCUGCCCCGAGCCCCUAAAACUGUUAGAAACGCCCCUGCACGUUCCUUGCUACAAAUAAGCCAUAAUUAGCAGUAAAACUUCAAAAAUAUCCACAUUAUAUUCCAUUUUUUUCAUUUAAGUUUUUUAAACUCCAUCUUGAAUGACGCUAAAGACCUUCUGGUUGCUGGUUUGAUUCCUGCAAGCGGCCUAAACCCAGCGCUGUAUCACCCCUCCUCCUCCUCCUCCUCCUCCUCCUCCUCAGGCCUGGGAGGCAUCUCAAAGUGCAGUCAUUAGGAAGCCACUUAUGUAGGUGUUCUUGCAAGAAAUCUUGUCAGGCAGAUACCUGCCACCUCAUUAGCCGGCCCCCACACGCACUCGCUCAGCGGGAGGGGGCACAUUUUGAGAGUGUGCUAAUAAUGACCUGAGGCUCAACCUGCUGUCGCAAACACUAACUUGUGACUCGCCGCCUUUGUUCGGCCUGUAACAUCUGGCUCUGACCGAAGGCUGCGCGUGUGUUCAAGCUGAUCGGAUGUGUGUGUGUUGAGGCGAGCGUGGCAAGGGCUAAGGCGCGAGGAGUUGAUCAUCGCCGUGGAAACCUCUGAGGGAAAAAGGCCUGGAAGCCCCUUCUGUCAGCUGGGCUCGGCGACGCUUCCUCUCGACUGCCUUCACACACACACGCAGAGUCCCUCCGGAGCACCAGAUUAAGGCCUGACUGAGUGAUGUGUGGCUCCCACUGGGUUAGAGGAAGAAUCAGCACCAUGGACAGAUCCACAAGGAACUAAACUAGAUGGAAUCAUCAUGUAAUUUAAUAAUAAAAUUCAUAAAAUCUAAAAUAAAAAAAAUCAUAAAAUCUU